CAGUAGCCGCGGUAAUACGUAGGUGGCAAGCGUUGUCCGGAAUUAUUGGGCGUAAAGGGCUCGCAGGCGGUUUCUUAAGUCUGAUGUGAAAGCCCCCGGCUCAACCGGGGAGGGUCAUUGGAAACUGGGAAACUUGAGUGCAGAAGAGGAGAGAGGAAUUCCACGUGUAGCGGUGAAAUGCGUAGAGAUGUGGAGGAACACCAGUGGCGAAGGCGACUCUCUGGUCUGUAACUGACGCUGAGGAGCGAAAGCGUGGGGAGCGAACAGGAUUAGAUACCCCGGUAGUCCCUGUCUCUUAUAA
rnacentral:rRNA from 1 species